rnacentral:rRNA from 1 species
UACGGGGGGGGCAAGCGUUGUUCGGAAUUACUGGGCGUAAAGGGCGCGUAGGCGGUGCUCUAAGUCGGAUGUGAAAACUCUGGGCUCAACCCAGAGCCUGCAUCCGAAACUGGAGUGCUAGAGUUCUGGAGGGGGUAGCGGAAUUCCUGGUGUAGCGGUGAAAUGCGUAGAUAUCAGGAGGAACACCGGUGGCGAAGGCGGCUACCUGGACAGAAACUGACGCUGAGGCGCGAAAGCUAGGGGAGCAAACGGG